GGAGCCUCCUCCUCCCGCCGGCGCGGCGCCUGUGCCCUGGUCCCGGUGUCCCCGCUCGGUGCCACCGAAGGAUCUAGGGGCUCGGGCCGGGGAGGGGGUGGAGGGGGGAGUGGAGGCGCGAUACGAACCCGUGGGAGCCUCCCCAACCCCGCAGUCCCAGCGGCAAACUGUGCUUGGUCGGACGGAUGCCCGCGCGGAGGGGUAGCCACGGGAGUGCCUCCGCCCAUGACAGCAGUGUGCAGGAAGCUGACCUGGAGCUGGGAAGCCGGGAGAAGGCACGUGGGGUUCCACCUAGAUAAACCCCAAAAAGACAGCUCCAGUGAGGGACUAGCAAACCUGAGACCAGCUCAAAUCCCUCCUGGCGAAGUGGUUUGACAUUUACCUUUCUGGGAUCAGAACUUCGUAGCCUCUUGUCUUGACCAGGAUGACAUGUGAUCUGCAUGGGGCACCAGGGCACAUGAGCUAGUUCAGUGAAGGGGUCCCAUCAGAGCAGGCUUGGGCUGCGUAUGUGCAGGCCACAUGCCCAGACAUGAGGCCCUCCAGGGCCUCCUCCCUUGCCUGGCUUGGUCUUGGGAACACCCUAGAAACCUCUUCUCACCUUAUUUUUCAAGUCAAGAAAGAUAAUACCCCCAAACUCAGUCUGGCUCUGCUUGACUGGUCAGUUAUGCAGAUGGUAGCCCGCUUUCCUCUCAGAAACCCUGGCUCAGUGAGAGUCCCAUGCUCCCCGACAGCCAGUGAGGACCUCUGUGGUCCUCGCAC
rnacentral:lncRNA from 1 species